CUACGUGCCAGCAGCCGCGGUAAUACGUAGGUCCCGAGCGUUGUCCGGAUUUAUUGGGCGUAAAGCGAGCGCAGGCGGUUAGAUAAGUCUGAAGUUAAAGGCUGUGGCUUAACCAUAGUACGCUUUGGAAACUGUUUAACUUGAGUGCAAGAGGGGAGAGUGGAAUUCCAUGUGUAGCGGUGAAAUGCGUAGAUAUAUGGAGGAACACCGGUGGCGAAAACGGCUCUCUGGCUUGUAACUGACGCUGAGGCUCGAAAGCGUGGGGAGCAAACAGGAUUAGAUACCCUGGUAGUCCACGCCGUAAACGAUGAGUGCUAGGUGUUAGACCCUUUCCGGGGUUUAGUGCCGUAGCUAACGCAUUAAGCACUCCGCCUGGGGAGUACGACCGCAAGGUUGAAACUCAAAGGAAUUGACGGGGGCCCGCACAAGCGGUGGAGCAUGUGGUUUAAUUCGGAGCAACGCGAAGAACCUUACCAGGUCUUGACAUCCCUCUGACCGCUCUAGAGAUAGAGCUUUC
rnacentral:rRNA from 1 species